GAAUGAAAAUCUAACGUGCAAUUUACACCAUAGAAAC
rnacentral:tRNA from 1 species